UACGUAGGGUGCAAGCGUUAAUCGGAAUUACUGGGCGUAAAGCGUGCGCAGGCGGCUAUGCAAGACAGAUGUGAAAUCCCCGGGCUCAACCUGGGAGCUGCAUUUGUGACUGCAUGGCUAGAGUGCGGCAGAGGGGGAUGGAAUUCCGCGUGUAGCAGUGAAAUGCGUAGAUAUGCGGAGGAACACCGAUGGCGAAGGCAAUCCCCUGGGCCUGCACUGACGCUCAUGCACGAAAGCGUGGGGAGCAAACAGG
rnacentral:rRNA from 1 species